GAUGAACGCUGGCGGCGUGCCUAAUACAUGCAAGUCGAGCGAACGGACGAGAAGCUUGCUUCUCUGAUGUUAGCGGCGGACGGGUGAGUAACACGUGGAUAACCUACCUAUAAGACUGGGAUAACUUCGGGAAACCGUAGCUAAUACCGGAUAAUAUUUUGAACCGCAUGGUUCAAAAGUGAAAGACGGUCUUGCUGUCACUUAUAGAUGGAUCCGCGCUGCAUUAGCUAGUUGGUAAGGUAACGGCUUACCAAGGCAACGAUGCAUAGCAGACCUGAGAGGGUGAUCGCCCACACUGGAACUGAGACACGGUCCAGACUCCUACGGGAGGCAGCAGUAGGGAAUCUUCCGCAAUGGGCGAAAGCCUGACGGAGCAACGCCGCGUGAGUGAUGAAGGUCUUCGGAUCGUAAAACUCUGUUAUUAGGGAAGAACAUAUGUGUAAGUAACUGUGCACAUCUUGACGGUACCUAAUCAGAAAGCCACGGCUAACUACGUG
rnacentral:rRNA from 1 species